rnacentral:rRNA from 1 species
GACGAACCGUACAAACGUUAUUCGGAAUCACUGGGCUUAAAGGGUGCGUAGGCGGCGGCGCAAGUUGGGUGUGAAAUCCCUCGGCUCAACCGAGGAACUGCGCUCAAAACUGCGUUGCUUGAGGGAGAUAGAGGUGAGUGGAACUUAGGGUGGAGCGGUGAAAUGCGUUGAUAUCCUAAGGAACACCAGUGGCGAAAGCGACUCACUGGGUCUCUUCUGACGCUGAGGCACGAAAGCUAGGGUAGCGAACGGGAUUAGAUACCCCGGUAGUCCUAGCCGUAAACGAUGAGCACUGGGUUGAAGGGUCCUCCAUAGCCCUUCAGCCGUAGCGAAAGUGUUAAGUGCUCCGCCUGGGGAGUAUGGUCGCAAGGCUGAA